UGACCUGUCAUUCUCUUAGAUGGACUAUGUGCUCCUCCCGAGUCACAAGUUUGAACAACGCUGCCGGUUGUUUGCUGCGAUAGUUUGUGGGGCAGGUUUAAUGUUGUUUUGUGAGUCAUUUAUUCUUUCACGAAGUGUUUUCAUUAAUCAUGUUUUAAUAUCGGUGUGGACGAGCUCCCAAAAGCAGCUGCUGCUUCACUUUGUCCCGUAUAACUUUGGCUAGAUGAAGUUAGCCAAGCCACCAGAGAGGCUUUGAGGUGAAGCAGAAAAUGUGACCCUUGUGAGAGCUGUUUCCAGUCCAUGGCUGUGGCAGAGGAAGACUUGUCGGGAAGGACUCCACAAUCAGUGUGGAGUCUCAGUUUGGAGGAAGGGUCUGACUCAUUUCAGUCCAGAAGCUGCUUGGGUGAUGUCCAUGUGCUUGACAGACCAAGCCACCACACUUUGUCCAGGUGUAUCCCUGAGGAUGGGGCUCGCUGCCAGGCAACUCAAAUACUGUGGACGUUCUGGAUCAGCAAAGGAGAUUCCUCUCCAUGGCUG